rnacentral:lncRNA from 1 species
GACAAGAAUGCAACCUCAGAUGACAUUAAAAAGUCCUAUCGGAAGCUGGCCCUGAAAUAUCACCCUGACAAGAACCCUGAUAACCCAGAGGCUGCAGACAAGUUUAAGGAGAUUAACAACGCCCACGCAAUCCUGACAGACGCCACGAAAAGAAACAUUUAUGACAAGUAUGGCUCGCUGGGGCUCUAUGUGGCUGAGCAAUUUGGGGAGGAGAAUGUCAACACCUACUUCGUACUCUCCAGCUGGUGGGCCAAGGCGCUGUUCGUCGUCUGUGGCCUCCUCACCUGCUGCUACUGCUGCUGCUGUUUAUGCUGUUGCUUUAACUGCUGCUGUGGGAAGUGCAAGCCCAAGGCACCUGAGGGUGAAGAGACAGAAUUCUACGUAUCCCCUGAAGACUUGGAGGCACAGCUGCAGUCUGAUGAGAGGGGAGGGCACUGACACUGUGCCGAGAGUGUUUGUGGUGGCAUCUGGGACUGUUGAGGUGUGAACGUGGACACUUGAGAGGCUACAGACACACCGAUCGUCAUACAGCCAGCAUCCGCCACAGAGACCACCCAGCUGACAGCUGACUCCCACCCCAGCUAUCACACCGACGGGUUCAACUAAAUUCAGGAGAGGCUGUGAUUAGAGGAUGAAUCAGCAUCUGGCCACUGCAACCUUAGAAUCAUGAACUGUAGUCACUGAGAUGGGAAGGCAGCCGUCAACCUGACCCGCUGUGGCUGGUCAGGGCCACUCCCACCUCCUCUUAAGUCCACCCAUCUGUCAAUCCUUGAUACAUGAAGUGCGUAGCAUGCAGUAUUUAAAGCAGUGUAGCUACGGUCUUCUUCUGUUUUAUCCUUUUUUUAAUAGCAUGUAUGGGUUAUGUUCAAUGUCUGUGUUGUGGACGUGCUGCAGCUGGGCUGAAUUAACUGGAUGGUAGUGCUUUUUCGGGUUUUCAGCCACUUGGGUCCAGUGAAGGUUCAGCUGUCUCCUUGUGCUUACAGGAGUCAGGUAAGCACCUGGAGCUACAUCUCCUUGUUGGCCUCUGUGUCCUGUGAUAUGGUCUAGUCCGUGGCUCUGAUCUCAUCCUCAAGGCUGCAGACAGGGCUCUGAUUUCACCUGCAAAGGAGGGAAC